GGCCGGUGAUGGAUAAAAAUUAUCCGUGUCUUCUGAGAUAUUUUAAUAGAUUCAUUGAUGUUUAUUUUUUCUACCUCUAGCUUCUGAGGCCA